rnacentral:lncRNA from 1 species
UGAUUUUCGAAAACAUUGAGUUUAGUAAUAUUGCUUAGUGCUUACAUGAAAAUCUCACUUACAUGAACAGUGGCGGAACUAGAAGGUUUUUGUAGGGGGGUCAAAAUUUUUAAACCAAACAGGUCGAAAUUAUUAAUACCACCACUUGCCUCUUUUGUGCUAUGUCGGAAUUUCAGUUGGUUUGGUUCACAAACGGUCCCUAAGCAGUGCCACUCUCUGUAGAAACGACCCUUGAAGCAAUUCACAACAAAUCCCCAAUUAAACCCACUAAUUCUAAGCCAAAACAGUCCAACUUUUCUCUCAGGCAAAUUAUCGAACACCUUGUGUGUGCUCUGAAAACCCAACUAGACAGACCUUGCCUAAAAGAGCUCUAACCAGAUUUUCGACAGUGGAAAUCACACCAAUGCACAGUAAGAAAUACACAAAUCCAAACAAUUAACCCACAAAUAACUUCUGAUUGACUAAAAUCAAAAUUACCUUGAGGGAGAAAAUGCAUAGUAAGAAAUACACAAAUCCAAACAAUUACCUUUCGUAUGUUGGUGAUGGACUGCAGCAAAGAAAUGGUGAGGGUUGUGCUUAGCAGAAUGGAGAAGUUUUGUGGAAAAGAAGGGAUGGUCUCCCCAAGAGCCGAGUUCAGCUUCUCCUCAAACCCAGUCCCACUCGCCCGAGUCCACAGCACUGAAGAAGAAGAAGAAGAUGAUGAUGGCAGAAGAAGAAGGAAGA